AUGCGUCUAUGCGAGAUGAGCCUGGCCGCCGCUCUUGGUGGCGCCGUCGACGACGCAUGUGGCUUGUGGCCUCCGUGGUUGUUGGUGCCGCCGCUCGCCGGCGUGUGGUUGGUGAGUUGUUGCCUUCCCGCCGCGUGCCGCUGCCGCUUGCAGCUGCCUCACAUCUGCUGCUUCGCUGCUACGUGCAUGAGGGAGCUUGGUGGCCGGCCGCCGGCGUACGUGCUGCUAGCUGCUGCUACUUUGCUGCUUGAGAGAUGGCAUGCGGGCGAGCCGGAGAACGAACGGUGCGCACCUGAAGCUGGAGGUGCUCAAGCACUACGCCGGCAGGCUGCUGCAGCUGCUCGAGUCCUCCGCCGGCGUGCUUCGAAUCUCCAUGGCUGUGUGCCUGUGUAUGGGAGUGUGGAUGUGUGA
rnacentral:rRNA from 1 species